UCCACUCAUAUUUAACAGGCAUCACUUUUCAGUUGAAUUUAAACACCUAAGAAUAAUUGUUUGUUAAAGAGUUCAACCAAUGGUAUUAAGUAGAACAAAAAAAUACUAAAAGGAAUAAAAUAGUAAGUUGUUCAUUGACAGGAUGAGGGCUGAUCAAGUCAUUGUUUCUCAAAGUGUCCAUUUCAUUUCUACAGGUUUCCUUUUAGGUGCUCAGUUGGCACAGAUCAGGGGGAACAUAUGAUAUUUGUCCCUUUGGGGCUGGUUUAUUUCACUCAACAUGAUAUUUUCCAGAUUCCUCCAUUUUGUUGCAAAUGACCAGAUUUCAUUUUUUUCACUGCUGUAUAGUAUUCUAUAGAGUACAUAACCCAUAAUUUCUUUAUCCAAUCUACCGUUGAUGGGCAUUUAGGUUGAUUCCAUGUCUUAGCUAUUGUGAAGCGAGCUGCAAUAAACAUUAAUGUGCAGACAGCUCUUUUAUUAGCCAAUUUAAUUUCCUUUGGGUAAAUUCCAAGGAGUGGGAUGGCUGGGUCACGUGGUAGGGCUAUAUUCAGGUUUCUGAGGAUUCUCCAAACUGUCUUCCAUAGUGGCUUUACAAGUUUGCAUUUAUUUAUUUAUUUAUUUAUUUAAAAGUCAGAUUCUGAGACAGGGAGUGAAAGAAUCUUCCAUCUGCUGGUUCCCUUCCCAGAUAGCUGCAACAGCUAGGGUUGGGCCAAGCCAAAGCUAGGGUCCAGGAGCUUCUUCCCUGUCUUCCACAUUAUUGGAAGAGGUCCAAACCCUCUACUGCUUUUCCCAGGCCCUUAGCAGGGAGCUGGAUCAGAAGUGGAGGGCUGGGACUUGAACUGGGCACCCAUAUUGGCUGUUGGCAUUGAAGGCAACGGCUUAACCUGCCACGCCACAACACUGGCUCCAAUAGUCAUGUUACUUUUAAAAAACUUUUUACCAUUUACAAAUAACUUACAUUAAAAUAGAGCACAUAUAAGCUGUUUUUUUUUUUCAGAGUUUUGAUACUAGUAGAUGUUUUUGCUAUAGGUUCCUGAGUUGCCCUAUGAUGUCACAGAGCACUUGUUAUGUGAGAACUUAGGCUAAGUUUAAACUACCCUGACAGAAACAUCUAGAAUGAAGACAUUGAGGAUGGAAGAUAGGAAUAGUCAUAUCUGCCUCUGAUAAGGAAAUGAGACAAAUGACACGAGUGGAGAGCUUCUUAGGAAGAGGAAACAGACAAAGAGGAGAAGCUAGAGGACAACAGAUUUUGGAUUUCUCAGUUCCCCUAAGAAUGACAGAGAAUGAGGGAGUGCAACUUCCAAGGUUGGGGCAUGCCAAAGCCAGGAUCCAAGGACUCCUGGGUCUCCCACAGGAGUGACCAGGAGACAUCACCUGCUGCCUCCCAAGCUCAUUAGCAGGGAGCUGGAUCUGAAGUGAAGGCAAGACUCAGUCUUAGGCACAGCAACAUGAGAUGUAGGUAUUCCCAACAAUUAUACCAAUGCUAUUAUAGUUGCUAUAGACAUAUUCAUUGUGUUUUGUUUUCCAUUUUUACAUGCUCAAAUAUUCAAAUUUCACUUGGAAGUACUGUUUUAAAUAUCAUCAAAUAAGAUAGCAAGGGCUGGUGUACAUCAAUCUCUUUAUAAUCUAAAAGUGAUAAUUCAGGUCUUGUUUAAUACACGUAUCAACUAUGCUUAAAAGCCAAUGGUACUAUGCCAGAAGUAAAUUAAUAAGUGAAUUAAUUAUCCACCUGUUUAUAAUUGAAUUCUGUGAUCUGUUUAAAUGAAGCCUUAUACCUAAAUCACAACAAUGAUGGCUGAUUUUUGGCUUCUCCUCUAUAGUUUAAGACAUAAAAUUCUAAUAUAUGUAGAAACCUAGGUAUAUAGGUUUAAUUAUUGCUAGGUAUAUAUAUAUAUUACUCACCAUGAUGACCAAUAAUCAAGGCAUAUCCCUUCACUGAACAAUUUGCUUUCAGAAUUAAAGCAUAUGCAGAAGAAUAAUAUUUAAGUUUUCUAAUUUUUCUCUCCUUCAGAUAAUUAUAGUUAAAAUUUUUGGUCAGAUAUGAUUUAUAGGCGCAGUAUUCAUUAUGUACCUAUUCCUAUAUGCUUUCCUAUAUUCUCUUUAUCUUUCUAAAAUGAGACAUUAACUGAUGAUACUAUCAGUUAUUGUUCUCAUUUAAAAAUCAGUUAAACUUAUAGAAAUUACUUUGGAUUUAUUACUGAGAGAAUCUUUGGGAGACUGGUGAUUUUUGAACACAUUUAGUACUCUUGCUAUAAUUGAAGAUUUUCUGUUUUAGUCCAAUCAGAUUUCUUAGCAUUUCUUUAUGUGAGUACUUUUGAUAUUUUUAAGCUAAAAAUGCAACACAAUUCUGCUGUAUUGUGUUAUAUUUGGUAUUAAAUGAUUUAAAAUUUUAAUUUCAUUUUUCCAUAGGAAAGCAAGAAUAUAUUGCAGAAAUCUAAGGUCAUCUUUAAAAGGCAAGAGAAGGCCGGCGCCGGCUCACUAGGCUAAUCCUCCGCCUAGCGGCGCCGGCACACCGGGUUCUAGUCCCGGUCGGGGCACCGGAUUCUGUCCCGGUUGCCCCUCUUCCAGGCCAGCUCUCUGCUGUGGCCAGGGAGUGCAGUGGAGGAUGGCCCAGGUGCUUGGGCCCUGCACCCCAUGGGAGACCAGGAAAAGCACCUGGCUCCUGGCUCCUGCCAUCGGAUCAGCGCGGUGCGCCGGCCGCAGCGUGCCGGCCGCGGCGGCCAUUGGAGGGUGAACCAAUGGCAAAGGAAGACCUUUCUCUCUGUCUCUCUCUCUCACUGUCCACUCUGCCUGUCAAAAAAUUAAAAAAAAAAAAUAAAAGGCAAGAGAGUUCUCAGAAUGGUAAAAUGAAUAUAAACUUUAAGGGAAAUGUCAGUUUUAUUCUAUGCAAUUACAGUAAAAAAAAUAAAAUAGUAAAGGGUAAUACAUUUUUAAAAUUGAAAAGAAUAAGGAAAAGGAAAAGUAUAUUGCUUUCUUGGUGAUACACUGCAUUGUUUUAACCCUACAAAACUUCUUAUAUGUUAAAAUUUUUCUUUUUGUAACAUACAAAUUUGCUUUAUGUAAACUUGUAGUGGGCUAUUAUGUAUUAGCAUCAGUUGCUUCAUCUCUGAAUCCUUUGUGUAUGAUAGCUGAGCAAGGAAGAAUCUGACCAUAAAGAAAGGGAAAUCAAGCUGAGAGAGUGAGAUGUGUGUGAAGCAGACAACAUUUCUGUAGAAAAAUUUACAAAAGGGCAAAUUUAGGCCCCACAUUCAUGAAAACACUCAUUCUGAUUUCAUGGGCAUUUUAUUGUUUCUGGGAUAAUUAAGCACAUAACAUACAUAGUUUGGCUCUUCAUUAAAAAUUAAAAAUUUGAAUGUUCUUUGGCAGAGAGUUGAAUAGAGUAAAUGAAAUUGAUGUUUUAAUGGAACAAGAUUGCAGAAUCUAUGAGUUUUUCCAUUUCAUGUUCACUGGCACGCUCAACCCAUUUUGUGUGCUUUCUUUCCUUACUAGCACCCCCAUGAAUGAAGUCUUUCUGUAUACUGAGUUGUCCAACAUGUCCUUUUUGAACAGUUAUUAUAGGUCUAAGGUGCAUGGAGUAGGUAUGGAGAAGGCAGUGGAGGAUGACAGGACAAUGGGAAAGAAUAAGUGAAUGUGUGGUACUCUGGGAGGAACACUGAGUUAAAGUCAGAGUUCCCAGGUGAAAAUUCGUGCUGUGGCCUUAUGAGUCACUGUGGAUUAUUCAUUUAACCUUUUGCAAGGUUCACUUUCUUCAUCAGCUUAUGGGAGAAUACAAGCCCUGACAAAAAUUCUCAAGAUGCUUGCCUUCUGGGCACAUUGUGAGAACUGCAUCAAAUGAUACAUGAAUGAUGGUGUCUUGUAAAUUAGGAUAUGUUAUUUAGGUAUCAAUGUGUGUCUGAAACCUAAUGCUGCAGGAUUUAGAACUGCUAAUAAAUAAUCCUGGGAUAGCCAAUAGUUCUCUGUUGCAAAUACUUCAUGGUGAAAAAAUUCUUAUGAAAUAUUAGGUAGUGUUUGGAUUAUUCAGGUUUAAUAAAGCAACUCUUAUCUGUAUACUUUCCCAAACAAAAGAGAUGACUACCUCAUGAAGAAAACUGCUCUUCCCCUUGAAGUCCUAUGAGAGAUUCUCAAUGUUGACUCAUUCAUUGGCUGAUUGCAAAUAUCCUAAUUUUCUUUUCAUUAAAGACGUGUUGAAAGAAAGCAAACUGGUUUAAAAUUUGUGUUUUCCUCUAUAACUUUUUAUAAGCAGGCAAUAUCAACUAUAGAUAAGGCUAGAUCAAGGAUUUAUGGAGUCUAAAUCUUAACCAAUUUGAGGGAACCCCUUUGAGGAAAUGAAUAAAAAAUUGCAAAUACAAAAUUAAGUAUCAAAGUGAAAUUUUAUUUGGGAAGAGAACGCAUUAAAUCAUGUCCCUUUUUUUCUUACGUUUUGGGUUGUUUACUGGAAAUUCUUACACAAAAGUGCUUUAUGAUCACAACUUGAGUUCUCUUCUUCACCUGGAAAUUUAUAACUCCAAAUAGUGUCUAGCCAGCCACAGGGGCUGUGCAAUGAAUGGACCUGAUAGUUUUAUCUGAUUCAAUGAAAAAAAUCUGUUAAUUAAAAUGUUCUUGUCCAGUUCUAGUUUCUCUUCAGUGGGACUGCUAAAGUACCCUACAUAAGUCUUUAAAAAGCGUAAGAGGACACUUUCAUAAGGAUAAUAGUCUUCUCAAUCUCUCUCCCUUCAGUGGAACUGCUAAGUGUUAUCAGCAAGGGCAACAAAAGGGCCCCCUUAAAGGUAAUUUCUCUUGCCUAUGAUUUUUAAGCGUUGUUUCCUUAAGAGUUAGAUGAAGAAACUAUUUUUAAUAGUGUCGUGAGCACCUACUGUCUCGCAGCUCGACAGUAGCAAGUGUGACGCACGACUUCAGUCACAGAAAGAAAGGAACACCAGGACACAAGACGGUCUUUCCAAUGAGAGAUUUUAUUGCUUACACACCAGGGGUUUUAUAUCACACUACUCAUCAGCAUGCUCAUUGAAGCCAAUACACUUAUCAGUAUCAAUAUACUUAUCGAUUUAUACUAUUUAAUACACAUCAAUAAACUUAACACUUCUAUUUAAUGUGACUUAACUAUUUAACUACUUAACUACUUAUCCACUUAACUACUUAACCACUUAACUAUUUAACUUAAUACCUCUACCCAAUCUUAACAAUAUCACUUAUCUGCCAGGAAAUCAAUAUUAUUAUAUUACAAGUCACAACAAACACUAUCAUAAUAAUCUUAAGUACUACCACAAUGAACAAUACAAGGACAGCAAAAGAUUCAAUAUACAACAUCGGUUUGCUACAUAUUUAGGCUUGCAUUACUGUCAUGAAUGUAUUUCUCCUGUAGGGAGUGUACAGUGUCCAGAGUUCAAUGUCCCAGCAGGGACAGAACUCGGACCAGUCACUUACAGGCAGGAAGUUGUGGGAAGGUUAUCACUCUGGGCAGUAGGCUCAAAGUUCCCAGGCGGAAGGCAAGGCAAGAAGUUGGAGAGGUCCCCUGCUGAGAGGCCUAGUCCGGCUGGCUUUGCGGUCAGAUCUGGCAGCAGGCGGAUAAGGACUCCAGGCAGGGCGGUGAGACAGCAUCUUGGCUGGUCAGGCAUGGCGGCGGGGCAGCAACACAGCAGCUCCACUGGUCUCUUGAUCCGGUCAUCGCCUUGCGCAGCGUAGCAAAAGCUAGUGGGCUGGCUCUUCGACUCCAAGUGCGAGGAGAUCCAGAGGUUCGCUUGCACUGGGCCCACUCACACACACACACACUUACACAGACAGUGGGAUAUUACAGCUCAAGGACAGCUCUGCAGGUUGGCUUGUGCCGCUAUCUGCUCCAUGCAGAGUAGUGGGUUGCCUCUUCAGCUCUGGAUAUGUGGAGAUCCAGAAGUUCACACACACUGGGCCCUUUACUCGGCUGCAAGCCCGGAAGUGUUACAGUGACUUUUAUUAGACAGGAACAAGACCAGAACGGGACAGCUCAUGUGGCUAAAGCCACUCAGGAACAGCAGCGAAGGCCGCUCAGGAACAGGUGCAGCUCCGAGAGCUGUGGCUGGAACAGGUAGGAACGGGUCAGGAUCUCUUCAGUGACAGCUCGGUGAUAGCUCAGGGACAGCUCGGCUCAGCUCUGCUCUUCUUUCCUCCACUCCCGGUGGUUUACACGCACCAGGCCAUGAUCCCCAAAAGGAAGGAGAGCGGUGCCAGGGCUCCCCUUUUAUCCUCAUUUUUUAGCAGUGCUCCAGUUUGCCAUCAUCCAACUUGUGCAAUUUUUAUUGGUUCUUACUUAUGUUUGAACAAUCCAGUCAAUACUGUUCCCGCCUUACUUAUGUUUGAAUGGUCCAGUCAGUGUGGGUAGGAGGGCACUGCCAGUAGCACACUGUUAUCUGACUGACCGGUGAUGUCUGCUUGGUAUGAUGAUUAGAGGCGUCUCCCUAACAGACGUUAGGCGUUGCCUCAGCUCCUGACUUAUAACUCCACUUUACUUUUAUUUUUGUGGCUAGUGAUAACUUCUUAACUCAAUGUUUUACUGUUUCCACAGUUCAUCUCCUUUUCAGGUAGGCGGUGAUCCAUGACUCUUUUUGAGACUCCUGUGGGAUUCUCCACAAAUAGUCACCUGAUUUUCACCUCAAGAUGAUUUUUAUAUUGUUUUGUUUUCUUCUUAUUUUCCUCUCAUUCUCCCUCAAAGCUGGCUCUUCCUUCCUUCCUUCCUUCCUUCCUUCCUUCCUUCCUUCCUUCCUUCCUUCCUUCCUUCCUUCCUUCCUUCCUUCCUUCCUUCCUUCCUUCCUUCCUUCCUGUCUUUCUUUUUCUCCUCUUGAAUUUCACUGCAUGGAGCAUUGUUUCUUAAACUAGGCUAUACACCAGCUGGAGCUCGUUCAAUGCUACUUGUGUUUGUCAGGGUUUCAUUACCACAAUGAGAUACGUGAGGCAACUAAUUUUCUAAAGAGAAAGCAUUUAUUGAGCUUAUAUUUAAUUUAGGGGUCUAAGCCCAAGUGUGGAUGGCCCUUUGGUUUAACUUCUGUGAUGGAGGCAGAGUACAUGCAGAGAAGGGCAUGUGGAGAAAAAAAAUCACAUGGUGAACAUGGAGAGACAGACUGAGCCCAAUUUAAGCUUUUAUAACCAACCAUCUUGAUAGAAUUGCCUUCUAAGGGUGACUCUCUAAUAAUUGGCAGCCUGCCACUAGGCCUAGGCCCACCUCCUAAACACCACGAUUGGAUAAAUUUCCACCCUGAUGGUACCAUUAAUUUGUGACUUUGCAUUAAAAUGUCUGCAUGAAUAUGGGGGCAAAAUCAUAUUCAAUCUAUAGAACUAUUCAUUUGGCAUUCUACUCACAGCGAUUACUAUUUACUUAGUCUGGAUUGCCUUACAGUGCAGUCAAAAUUGAAAGCUAUUGUCUAAGAUCUCAACAAUCUCUAUUACUUUAAGAUCUAUGUCUAAUUUUUUUAAGGGAGCAGAAAUAGCUGAAGAUAUGGCAGUGGUUGUGCAUAUAAAUCUUCUAAUUUGUAUACUUUUUUGUUACAAAAUAGGAAGGCAGCUAUUUCCCUAUAGUUGAAGAUAAUUUAUACCAUAUCAGAUGACUCCUAAAAUUAGUUUGAACAUGGUAAAUAUCAUCUUAACUAACAGAAAGAAGAAUUUAGGGAUUAAUUUCAUUUUGGUUUCCAAAUUUUCCCUUUUUUUCCCAAUUUUACUAAAGCCAGAUGGCCUUAUUCAUCAAUCCAGACAUAUUUGCUAUUCAAGAUUUCUAAAAUUUUAUCCUUUGAGAUGCCCUUACUUGAAGAGAACUGGGGCAGAUCCUAGAUAUUUGUGGAAAAAGAUGAAACCUGGCAAUGUGGGUUGGAAAAUGUGCCCCAAAGUGGAGUAGCUAAAGGAUGAUGAAGGCUGAUAUGAAAAUGCAGUGUGCAGUGCUGAGUCUAGAGUUUAAGUAAGUCAUGGUGCCAAACUGUAGGAGUAGGCUUAUUUUUAUGUCUGUAGGGGAAAUGACAGUGUACAUAUCUACCUCUAGCAUAAAUCUGGCCUUAAAAUGAUGGUGCCAACAAACAUAUUUGAGUGCUUGUCCUGAGCUACUGUACAGCAAACUAAGGCAUGAUGUGAUUCUGCUGUUUUUACUGAUUCUGGGUGCCAGUGGAUACGGACAGCCAGAUGGCCUGCUCCACUUGAGUGCGGCAAGGUUCUGUUAGUUGCUAUGACUAAAGCAAAAGGUCAUUUCCUUUUCUGACAUACGCAGUCUAUUUAGGCUAUUUUAACCAGUGUUUAAAAUAAGUUAAAUUGAAUAUACUUGAAAAAAGUGCCAUGGAUAAUUUUCUUUCACAGAAUUUAAGUAAUGAACCUCUACUGAGCGUAUGAGUGAGAGACUAUCAAUUAAGUAUAGUUUAGAAGGAACAUCCAAGUAUACCAGAGAAGAUUCCAAUAGUAGUUUGGUACUUUUAGCUUUAGAAUAAUUCAACAAACAUUAAGAGUUGUAGGGAGAAACAGUGACAUGAUGGGAAAUUGCUUUGAGUGCCUUCUCUAGGGAUAAGGGAGAAAAUGGGGGAAGCAUGGCACAUCCACACGACAGGAACACAUUGUAGAACAAUGCAUUGCAAGACAGUUUUAUCAUUGUGUUGUGUAGUGCCGAGAUGACAUUAGGUGCUAUACUCUUACAGGGUUGCCACCAUUUUUGUUGCCUGCCAUGGUCUGAAAUAUUAUAAGGUACAUAGUUAUAUUUUAGAACUCUCUUAUGGAAGCAAUAUGGAAAUAGGGAAGCCAAAUAGGGCCUCAUGAUAGAGAAAACAGUGUAUCUUGGUAGGAGAAAGAGUCUUUCCUGUUUUUAACUAGUGAAGAAUGAAGUUCUGUCAUGAGUACAGGGAGAGUAAAAAUAGUCAUUAAUGAAAGGAAAAGCGUAGUAGGACUUCCACACUUUUAAAAAGGAAAGGAUUUGCAGACUUGAUUAAAUAAACAACAAAAAAAGAAUCUAAAUGACAACAAUGUUAGGUAAACAUGAAAUAAGAUGAAAAAGUAAGAUUAAUUGUUUAAAUUAUCAUAGCAAAUGUGUAAUCCAAUUCUAUUGAAAAGAAGCUGAGAAUCAAUGUUAAAAAUCCAAUUACUAGGUAGCUUGUAAAAUAACUAAAAUAAUAAAAUAAAAUAAUUAAGACAGAGUAAUAAAUUAUUAUUAAAGAUAUCAAAUGAUAUCUUACUACUUUCAUGGCUCCCCUAAUUGACAGCCACUAUUGUAGGGCAUUGCAUAUUUCUCACCUGAGAGUCACUCACUAACUUCAUUGAUUCAUUUUUUAUUUCAUUUAUCUGUUCAAUAAAUGUUUACUAAAACCUUAACAUUCUCCAAGUAUUGGAAAAUAAGUAAAAAGGAGUUAGAAGGAAAAUAAGAAGCACAUAGUUCCCUGAUUUCAUGUAGUCUUCGUUCUAAUGGAGGUAAAUAAUAAACAAGUUUCCCAAGCCAAAUUUCGUGCUAUGACAAGGGUUAUAUAUGAAGGAAUCGGGUGCUUGCUACAGAAUAACAGGAUGUGACCUAAUUUAGAAAGUAUGAUCAGAGAAUGUGACUCUGAAAAAGCGACAUUUAGGUGAGUUCAUUUCAACUUCUGUUAGAUAUGAGGUUCAAAUUUUCACAUCUGAUAUUUCACAGCUUGUUUCCUGCUUCUGUCUCAAACUUCACAUAAAAUGUAUAAAGAGAGUUAUUUCAUUUCCUUCUAUAAAUGGGGAUAUCACUUCUACGGACUGAUGGGCUCAUUCACUUAAUUAAAUAAUUUGGAACCAAAUUAGAUUUAUUUUAUUUGUCUUUAAGUUUAAAAAUAUUUCUUAGAGUGAAUGGAACGAAAAGAACUUCUAAAAAAAAUCUCUAAGCUAGCCUUCUAAAAAUAAACAUCAAAAACCCAAGCAAUUAACUAAAUAGGCUUCAUAUUCGAAGAGAAAUUACCAAUUAACCUUCCUUGGCCCCCUGUGAGGAAAGACAGCUAGAGUUGAGAGUGAGGGAUUCCUACAGAGGGUGGAUCUGAUCCAUUUUGAGGGAUGCCCUUGCUAAAGGCAAUACUUAACUUGAAAGAAAAUCCCAGCCAGCGAUUCCACUUAAGUUUAGAACCUCUUAAGAGUUGAAAGGGAAAGCUCUGUUUGUUGAGAGAAAAACAAACAAUCAAGACAAGGAGGGUGAUGGUUAACAAAGCCUGCUCAGCUUCAGGUCUGUUUUCUGUGAGUAAAUUUAGGUUUGGUCCCAGACUUGACCAAGGAAGAUUGUUUUAUUUUGAGCUUAAAACGAUGAAAUGCAAUAGGCAAACAUUGUCCAAGCUGUCUAAUCUUAAGUUGCUGAUAAGAAGAGGAUGUACUAUUUGUGUUAGAAUCAGAUACCAUUCUGGAAUUCAGAUAUUAUGUGCUGCGCUGACUGCUUCUACUUGGUAGGUUAGGCUGUCCUUAUGUUACCUACAGGAACAGCACAUUUUCACAAAAUCUUACGUGAAAAUCAAAAAUAGAAAGCAGAAAGCUGGGUGUUCUCUUGUCAUUGCUCCUGUAAUACUGUAUCCACCCCUACCUCUAUUUUCAUAUAUAUUAAACAAUUUUCAAAGUGUUUACUUAGAAAUCUUUCUCUUUAGAUUAUGAACUCCAAAAAGGAUCUUGUUUAUCUUAACAUUGUGCCAAGCCAUUUCUGACCCACUUAGAAAAUGUGGACUUUAAAACAAAAUUGGGAAUGCUUUUGGUAGCUUUGGGAUCCGCAAGGAGAGAAGGCCUACACUUCCGGUAAUGGGGAAGUCCCUACCUGUACUUGCGGGGAAGAAAAGUCCUUGUCAAGGUCCGUGUGGGUGCCUAAAGGUCAACCAGUGAGCAUCAGACCUGCCUCAACCUUUAACCCCCAUGCCCUGAAUCUAUAAAAGGAGCCCUCCCAAUCUCUGACGCGUGACUUCCCUGGCCCCUGCUCUGUUGCUCUGUUGGGACCGGGGAACCUCGCCCGGGAGCGGAACCCCAAUAAAAGCCUGUGAAUUAAUUGAUUCGUCUGCCUGGGAAGAUCUGUUAUGCGCCGGACACCUUGCAGCUUUAUCCACUGCCUUGAAAAUGUGUAUAUUCACACCAACCUGGACUUUUACCUUUGUUUCUCCAGUUAAAUUAUUUAACAUGUUUGUCAGCAAUAUCGGUAGGUUCCAGGGGGAGAACUUUUUCUAUGGGCAGCAUCUGGUGUGAUUUGCUACAACCUCCUUUUGGAAACAUUUUUUUUGGCUUCUGGGGCAACAUAUACUCUUAGAUAUUUUUCUCUCUUCCUCAAAUAUGGAGAGACUCAAUCCUAGCUCAGCUCUGGAAACUCUUCUCCAUUACCACUUCCUAGUGAUCAUGUUUAGUCUCCUCCAAUAUAGCAUUCAUGUUUCACCUACAGCCUGAGACUCGCUUGAAUGCCAGUAUCACCUUUUACUUGGUAACUGAAUUGGUAUCUCAAUUUAAUCUUUUCAGCAUUGAAGCUUAAUUUCUCUUCCUCAAGCCUUUCUUAAGGCAAAAAUGAAGAGGAUAACAUCAGAUAUUUUGAAACAAUCAUCUUUAGCCACAAUGAUUAAUAACCAGGGUGACCUUAGUCUGAAGUUGAACAGUUUGCCAUGAAGACGUCCUCAUAGAAGUAGCUCUUGUAAAAUGUGGUGGCCUAUGUGCAAUCUUGUGGUUCAGGCAGUCUUUUGAGGUAGUCACUAUCACGCAAUACUGUGUAAACACUGUAGGGAUGUGAACUCAAUGUGAUGAGUAACAGCUGUGGUGUGGUCAGUACAGCAGUGUGACCCCAGUGUUCCUGCCCCAGCUGGCAAGGGCAUGCAGCAAGACAUGUUCCUUCUUCUAGUAGCAAUGAAAUAAAGCAGUUCAAACCCACCCCUCCUUUCCCUUCCACCCUUGAGGUAUUUGCAAAUGGGCCAGUGCCCAACAUGGGUCCCCCAGGGACUGGGGGAGGGUGGAACAAGAGAUCUGUGAGGGAUAAAGAGAUUCCCCUCAGCACUUGGUCUCAUGGGUCCCUGAAAAGUGGAAGUGGGAGGAGCGCUGGGAUUUGGGCCAUUUUCCACUGCUUUCCCAGGUCAUCAACAGGGAGCUGCAUCAGAAGUGGAGCAGCUGGGACUCGAACUGGUGUCUAUAUGGGAUACUGGCACCACAGGCAGAGAUUUAAUCUACUAUGCCACAGCACCAGGCCAUAUGACACAGCAUUUUUGAGUCCAAUAAAUUAUUGCAAUAAACAGCAAGGUGAGGUAGGGGGUGGAAUUGCUGUAGAGAAUUAAAGUGGUUGACUGAUGUUAGGGACAACCUGGUAGGGGUCUCUGGGUGAUCUCAACUCCUGCCGCUCACGCCCGCUCCUGAUUUGGAAUGUCAGACUGAGGCUGUGUCCCCACUCCUGGCAUCUGUUUCACAGUAACCUGGAGCCCAGUGUAAGUCUGGGAGCUAGGAUGACCUUGGUCCCUUCAGGGAGGGCAUGCCUUCAGGAUUGAGAGCAUCCCCCUCUGCCCAUUCAGGCCUGGUGCCUUUGGCUUUUGUUCCCAAUGCCUGGCUUGAGAUGGAUGCUGUAGCCUGCUGUGUAGAAGAGUGUUUGACACACAGCACGUAUCCUCCCCCCGCUCCAAAAAAAAAAAAAAAAAAAGAUACUUAAAAAAAAAAUGUUGGAAUGCAAAAGAGAAUGAUCUAUUUAAAAAGUUGGGAAAACUUUCUUUAAAUUAUUGAAGAAUAUAGUCUGUAAAUCCUAUGUAAUUUGAGCCCAUAGAAUUGUCAAGGUCACUUUUUUUUUUUUUUUUUUGACAGGCAGAGUUAGACAGUGAGAGAGGGAGACAGAGAGAAAUGUCUUCCUUUUCCGUUGACUCACCCCCCAAGUGGCCACUACGGCCAGCAUGUUGCUGCCAGAGUACUGCGCCGAUCUGAAACCAGGAGCCAGGUGCUUCCUCCUGGUCUCCCAUGCGGGUGCAGGGCCCAAGCACUUGGGCCAUCCUCCACUGCCUUCCCAGGCCACAGCAGAGACUGGACUGGAAGAGGAGCACCUGGGACAGAAUCUGGUGCCCCGACCGGGGCUAGAACCCAGGGUGCCGGCGCCACAGGUGGAUUAGCCUAGUGGGCCACGGAGCCGGCCCAAGUUCACCAUUUAAUGAUGAGUCGGACAGUUAGUAUCGUUAACUAGGAUACCAGAAACCUAGGAAUGAUAGGGGGCAGAAACUUUGUAAGAACCGAGACAACUCUCCAUAGUGUGGGCAGAGGCUAGCAAAAGUAGUCUAAGCAGGCUCAGAGGCAGAGACUGGCUCUCUGGGCACAGGCUUCAGUGAAUGCCACAUUCCAAGUUUCAAUUCCCCAAAUUGUUAUUUUUAACAGUUGAUUUGGAGAGGCAGACAGAGCACAUUAGAAGUGAAUUAGGAGUAGGGUGGGACAUUGCUGAUGGACUUCAAGUGACUCAUGUAGAAGCACAGGAUUAUAGAGACUUUUUGUGAACAGAGAUAUUGACAUGAGUUGGGCAUGGUACUAUGGGUUGGAGUUGUAAAGAACCAGGAAGGGAGACUGGUCAGAAGAAAUAGAGGGGGCUUUGACUGUCUUCUCCUGGGGUCAGAUACUGCAGAGAAUGGAAGGAGCCCAGGAUGGAAAGAUAGCAGAGAAUGGAUGGAGCCAAAACUUUGAUGAUAUCAAAGUCAUCAUUUAUACUCUGAAAUUUAGGACACAUGGAUGAUGAAGAGAUAUGGGAAAGGAAAUGCAACUCUCCUGAUACGUUGUGAAAUUCAUUAGCCUAGGUGAAGAAUGUGGCUUUAUUCCAAGUACAGCCAGACGAAACUGGGGAAUGGGAGAAUGCACAACCAAACCAAUAUGACCUGCUAGUCUUGCAAGUAACUUGGUAAAAUAGAAAUACUUAUCAAGUACUGACUGCGCACUAGACACUACAUAUUCAUUUUUUAAUUCAAUCCCUACAAUACUGUUAAGAUUGGAAUACUGAUUUAACAGAAGAGGAAAUUGAAAUGUUGACAUUAUUCCAAAGUCACACGGUUUGGAAGUGCAGAGGACUGAAAUUUGAAUCCUGAAUACUUAAUUACAGAGUUUGUGCUCCUUUAAUUAUUUUUUAAAGAUUUAUUUAUUUACUUGGAAGGAAAAGUUACAGAAGGGCACAGGCAGAGAGAGAGAGAGAGAGAGAAUAAAAAAUCUUCCAUCUGCUGGUGCACUCCCUAAAUGGCCACAAUUGCCAUAGCUGAGCCAAUCCAAAGCCAAGAGCCAGGAGUUUCUUCCGGGUCUCCCAUGUGGUUGCAGAGGCCCAAGUACUUGGGACAUCUUCUACUGCUUUCCUAGGCCAUAGCUGAGAGUUGGAUAGGAAGUGGCACAGCUGGGUCUUGAACCGGUGCCUAUAUGGGAUGCUGGCAUUACAGAGGGCAGCUUUACCCGUUUUGCUACAAUGCGUGCCCCUCCUUUCAUUAUUUUUAAGUGGAUGUACACUAGAGUAUCCUGGAAACCUUUAAAAAAUAACUUAUACACAGGCACAAUCCCCAGUCACUGUGUUGUGAAUUUUGUGAUGUGUGCACACAGAUAAGGGUAAUUUUCUUAUUUUGAUAAUCCUCUCCAGGUAAUUCAGUGGUAUACUUGGGAUUGAGAGCCAUCACCAUGAAAGGUUGAGGUGUGUAUGGAAUGUAUUAUACUGUAAUAUUUUUUAAAAUGUAGUCUAGGACCAACAGUAUGAGUCUUAUUUGAGAAUUUGUUAGAAAGGCAAAAUCUCUGUAUCAGAAAUUGUAAGAAUAGGGUCAAAUAAUCUGCAUUUUUAUAAACUAUCUAAUGUACAUUGACAUUUGUUUCAUAGCCCCUAAACUAGAUAUGAAGGGCCUUGACUUCAGACUUUAAAUCAACAUCUCUAAACCUCAAUUUCCCCAAAUGUAUAUGAAAAAGGUAAUGUUAUUUACUGCUCUGACAAAUUGAGAUAUACUUUAUAAAAAUCACCUGACUUAUAUGGGGUAAGUGUUUCAGAAAUAACAAUAACUCAGAAACUGUACUUAUAAAUGAGCCCCAUUUUGGAAAUCUGGGAUAAUUAUGAGAAUAUAAAAUAGGUAAAUGGAGAAUUGUGUGAGUAUAUUAUGCUUCAGAAGUCUCUAGCAGCUGAUACUGAAAAAUGGUAACAGAUGUCCAGCCUACUUAGUUGUUAAACAAUCACCCUCAUUAUCAGAACUGGAAUUAAUGGGUAUUGUUGGGCAUGUAAUAGUUAAAUAAUGAAUGCUAGCAUUUCCUACUUUUUCACGUUAUUCAAUAAAUAUCUUAUUGACUUGCUUCUAGUUUCACCUGUGUAAAUACUGUGACUGUUUAGGUACGCUUUGGUCAUGCCAAAUAUGAUGGGAAAUGGAUUAGACUUGAGCUUUGGGCUUCAGUCCACUUUCCUUGUUGAGCCAACCUCCUUUGCCUCCUGUUGUCCCUUAAAGAUUCAGAGUCUAAAAGCAAAUGUCUGUGCCACUAGGAGGAAGGCAUAUUCUGAAAGAAUGGAAGGAUUCUUUACAUUUUAAAUUAGAUCGAUUUUUUUAUUCUGCAAUUUUCUUUUGUUGUUUAGUGAUAAGGACAUUUGUGUGUGUGUCUGUGUGUCGUCUGUGUGCACACACGUGUGUGGAUGUAGUUGUUUAAGCUAUCCUUACAAUGUUAUUGAAGAUUGUUUUCUGCUUUAAAAAAGCUUAAAAUAACUGUGUUUUAUAUUCAUAUAAAAUUAUAAAACAGUUAUACCAGUAAAUGACCUCACAGUUCUUUCAAGGUGCUUGCUAUUGGAUUUAGCAUUAUCACUGAAGUUGUCAUGAAUUUGAGGAUGGUAAGCUAUUUCAACAGAUAAUUGAACACAGAUUUGAUUUCUUUGUUCCAGAAGAUCCUGCGAGUAGAUUAAAUAUAAUCCUAGAUAUGCUUGAAAACUUUUGAAAAACAAUGAAGAUUCAAACUUACUUGGAGAUGGAUAGGUAAAAAACUAAACUGUCAAGUAAGAGGGAAUUACUGAUUUGAAAACAUUUGCUGGAAAACUGACUGUAGGGGAUAUUUCAUACAUACAUUCACACAUACACAUCAAGCGCAUCCUUAAGAACAUGCCACAGUACUCAAGAGAAAACAAGAACAAUUUACUCAUUGACCUGAAAGUUCAGUCUUUGGUUUAACAUUUCUCAUAGACAUAGAAUGAAAUGAUUUAGUUCUCUGUUGGUUUAUAUUCAAAUAUGAAUUUAACAAGUGUUCUACUGGAAUGUAUAAUUUUUAUGUAUAGAACUUAUAAUAUGAUCAUUGGUACUGAAAAUGUAGUAUACAUAUCAUUUGUACUGAAAAAUUGCUAAUAAGUAGAUUAAAAGAUAUAUUGUAUAAUUCAACAGAUUUUGAAUUGAGGUAAUGGUAUUGGUCUCAUUAAAAGUGGAAAAAUUUUAAAAUGGAAAAGCAGCACGAGCAGGUAUGCAUUUGGAUGACUAAAAAGGGGGAGAAUCUCAGCUUAUUCACUUAAUAUAAUACAUUACCGUAAAAUCUACAAUGCCAUGAAUUCUAAAUCAUCGUGUAAAUGAGGCAAUUAAGCCUUCAUGUAAGUACUUGUGCCUUUCUUUGGAAAAAUACCGGCCACUGAUUUUCUCUUUUACGUUUGUAAAACAGAGAGGUUUAUGGUUUAAUUUUACUCUGAUUAACCUUAACAUGUCAACAGCUUAUUGAAGAUUUGUGGGACUAUUUACUCUAUUAAUCAAUAAAAUGUGGUUACCAUAGUAACUAAUAUAAUCUUGAAUACUCUGGUUAAGUAUCCUCCAAGACUCAGAGUAGUUUUUCAUCUGAUCUCCUAUCAGUCACACCAACUUCAAGUGCUUCCUUGCACUUUAUACAGAAAAAUCAUUUGUUUUGUUUUUUACUGAUUACACAAGUUUAGAUUUUUGUUUAGAAUAUAAACCAAGUGCUUUGUAUGUUUGAGAAAAUUUAAAGAUGGCAAUAAUUUAAAAGCACUUUCAAAAAGACUUUGGAAAUAACAAAGAAGUGGUGGAAUAUUUGUUUAAGUGACUGGACUUAGAGUUUCAAUUUUCAGAAAAUGCCUUGAAGUUAAAAGACUAAGGCAUUUGAUGACUUUGCUAUUCUGACAAAUUCUUCUUAGGAAUGACCAUAUCUUGUUAAUGGGAGUCUAUCUUAUUAACUGAGAGCAUUUAAAGUACAAAACGCCUUGCUUCACUGUAGUACAUUUUGCUGUUUGCUACAAAUACCAUGUACAUGUUUUUUUUUUUUUUUAACAGGCAGAGUGGACAGUGAGAGAGAGAGAGAGACAGAGAGAAGGGUCUUCCUUUGCCGUUGGUUCACCCUCCAAUGGCCGCCGCGCCCAGCGUACCGCACUGAUCCAAAGGCAGGAGCCAGGUGCUUCUCCUGGUCUCCCAUGGGGUGCAGGGCCCAAGUACUUGGGCCAUCCUCCACUGCACUCCCUGGCCACAGCACAGAGCUGGCCUGGAAGAGGGGCAACCGGGACAGAAUCCGGCGCCCCGACCGGGACUAGAACCCGGUGUGCCGGCGCCACAAGGUGGAGGAUUAGCCUAGUGAGCCGCGGCGCUGGCAUACAUAUACAUGAUUUUUGCACUGCAAGAGUAGAUUUGGAAUUAUUGAAAUUUUUUAACAAAUUCUUCAUAUGCCUCAUUCUUUUACUGUUCAGCCUUUUUGUAUUUAGAAUGAUUUCAUCAUUUCUGCACACCCUUAGCCGUAUCCUGCUCCAAUAUUUCUUGGCUUAUUCAUAUUUGUUCUUUAGAUCUUAACUGAGAAAUCAUAUUCCCUGAGAAUAUGUAUCUCUCUGACUCCCUCUAAUGUAGGCUAAUCCUCUUUCUUAUGUGCUUGUAUAAUAUCACUUUGAAGAUAGUUUCAUGCCUAAGUCUGUUGGUUGAUUCACCUUACCGUCAUUUACUAGGUAGGAUCUCCUGGAAGGAAAGGGCUUGAAGACACUCUUAGUUCUUGGCCUACCAUAGGUUUUCAGGAAAUAUUAUGUUAAAUAGCUGUAUUAGUUUCAUGGCGCUGUCAUAACAAAUACCACAAACUGAGUAUCUUAAAACAACAGAAAUUUAUUUUAUGCAGUUCUGGAAACUAGACGCCUGAAAAUAGGUAGUGAAGGAUUGGUUCCUGUUGGAGGUUCUGGGGGAAUCUGUUGCAUCCUUCUAGCAUCCUGGCAGCUCCUAGCAAUUCUUGGUGUUCCUUGACUAGCAGAUGCAUCGUCAGUCACUUCAGUCUCUGCCUAUGUCUCCUCAUAGUACUCUUCCCUCUUCUCCUUUUCUUAAAUGCCUCCAAUCAUGUUGGAUUAAGGCAUAACCCUAUGACCUCAUCUUGACUGCGUCUGAAAAGAGCCCAAUUUCAAAUAAGUUUACCUUUAUACUACAAGUUAGGUCAUCAAAAACAUCUUUUAUAGGACACAGUUCUACCUGCAAUAGUAACCAUCUAGGGCAUUUUUACUUUAGGGGUGGGUUGAUAUAAAAUAUAUUCCUUAUCAGGGGCAGGUGAAUCAUUAAGCUGCCAACCGUCUCAUUAUUUAGAUACGUUUAGCAGGGCAAUAUUUAGAGAAUUGGAAGUAUUCAUUCUCAUUUUAAUUGUCUUAACAUUCAGACUUGAUAAUUCCUUAGAGAAUUUUAUUUACUGAUAUUAGAUGCUUUGAUUCAGUCACUAAAUGUGUGAACUAGUUUUGUAUGGACACAACUUCAGCAAUUUUAGAAAGAAUAAAUUCCUUUGCAGUAACUUUAGAAUUAGGCCCAAAGAACUUUGUUGUAUUCAUGCUUGUUAAUUCUUAUGUGUAAUUCAAAGUCUUUCUUUUAAUUCAGGUCAUCUUUAUUUGGCAACCACUGCAAGGCAGAGGGAGAGAAGGCAGUACACAAAUUAUUCCUUGGCAUUUGGCAAUUAAUUGAUUAACAUGCAAAUUUUCUUCAAAGCAACAUAAAAUAUGCACCUAUUAUUUUUGGUUCAUCAGAUUGAGUUAUUUUUUCAUUUUGACUAGAUGCAACAAUAAUUAAGUGAUUUAAAAUAUAUAAUUCAGUAUUGAACUAGUUUCUCAGUAGCAGUGAUCAUCAGGUUUUACAUGAGGUUCCAGGCAUAGACUCAGCUACAUGGUACACGGGUAGUCGGCAGAUGAUGAGACCCGAAACCAGUCCAUGUUGGCAAGGAGUAGGGAUGAUUUCAGAAUUACAGGAAAAUCAGAGCAAAGAUCCAUACAAGUACUACACAAGAGAGGGAUUUUUGUGUCCACUCUGUGUGUGCAUAUGUUUGCAUGUUGUACAUGAUCUUGGUUUAUUUUUUUUUUUUAAUCUAAUUGAGAGUAAACGUGGGUAGCUAAAAAUGCAUAUGAGUAAAUGGCAAUAGGCCUGUCCAUAUGGUACAUAAACGGAUGCUGCUGUUACUGGUAGAUAUUGUAUAUCUUCUGAAUUCUCUAAAUCAAUAGGGUUUUAGUAUUUUAAAAUUUAAGGAAUUCUCACAAGGGUUUAUAUUGUUUUUAUUAUUCUGCUAAGCCAGUAGGGGGAAGUCACACAUUACUUUUUGGUGGGAUUCAGAAAUGUUUCUUCAGACUUUAUCUUAAAAUCUAUCUUCUUGCUAAUAAAUAAAUAAGUAAGACAAAGUGCUUGUGGUUAUGAUUUCAUAAGCACACUAGUAUCAGUUCUUAAAAAGUUACCCCAAACUUUAAGUUCCUUGUUUUUUUUUUAAUUAAAAAGAAGAUGAAAUGCCCCAAUAUCUUUGGUAAAAGGUUAUUACCUUGUUGUUGAUGAUGUUCAUAAUGCUUCCAAAUUGCUAAGUCCAUUUGUGAUAUCAGAAGCUUAAUUACUGAAAUGGCACUGAAAAAGUAAAGGGGAAUCUAUGGGUUAGAUUUUUAGAGUUAAGAAUAAAUUAUUUUAAUAUUUCCUAUUGCAUUCUUCAUCUGAUUUUUUGGAUUAUUGUUGUAGUUUACAAACAUCUGAGGAAGAAGUUGAACAUUUUAGAUUUCAAGAUACAAACAGGCCGGCGCCGUGGCUCAAUAGGCUAAUCCUCCACCUUGCGGCGCCGGCACACCGGGUUCUAGUCCCGGUCAGGGCGCCGGAUUCUGUCCCGGUUGCCCCUCUUCCAGGCCAGCUCUCUGCUAUGGCCAGGGAGUGCAGUGGAGGAUGGCCCAGGUGCUUGGGCCCUGCACCCCAUGGGAGACCAGGAAAAGCACCUGGCUCCUGGCUCCUGCCAUCGGAUCAGCGCGAUGCGCCGGCUGCAGCGGCGGCCAUUGGAGGGUGAACCAACGGCAAAGGAAGACCUUUCUCUCUCUCUCUCUCACUGUCCACUCUGCCUGUCAAAAAAAAAAAAAA